CAGAGUAGAAUACAGCAGAAACGGUUGUUAGUUUUGGCGUAAUUUAUCAUCAUUGUGCUAUAUUAUUGCGUUUAUGGGAAGUGCACAAACUCCAGCCUGUCAGCAUAUCAAGUCCACAAGUUUCCCAUUGCUAUUUUGGUUCGUGAAAUGGGAUGAAUCCGAUAAGACCGAGCUGACACGAAAACGGCAAAAAACACUCCUGGAUCAGUCGGAGAUGCUGCUUGAUGAAAGCGAGAACUGUACACGGAGAUGCAUCUGCAGCAGUGAUGCUGACCUGGAGCUGAAGGCUUUCUCUCCACAGGUCUCUCACUCAACUGUGCUUCACUUUGGCUCACAGAGUAACCUUAACUAAGCAUAUUUGCAUCAGCCCUCACUGUGUGUCUGACGGUGAAAUACCGGUGGAGGUCAUCGGUGAAGGUCAUCACAGGCUCGACGAGAAUGCAGAACUGUCCACUACAUUUGCUCUCCUUUCUAGAUCCUUCCAGCUGGUUUACAAGAAUGAGGCUGUCGGCAUCUUUUUACACAGCAUUCACAAUUUAGCACACAUUAAAGACAUGAUAGUGUGGUACUCACGUAAUUGUUGGCCCACUUACUGAAAAAUAAUUUUAAUAAGGUUUACUUUUAAAUGGGUCAGAUGAUAUAUUUUUCUUUCAGUAUUAUGUUACCUACUCAUACACACAUUCACACAGUUUCUUAUACAUAUAUAAAGAGUAAAAAUGUUGGGUAUUAACACUGCUUAUGAUUUUGUGAUAUGUAAAUAAAACUUGAUCUUGAGCUGCAUUAGAAUUUAAACUUGAAUUUGGGUUGAAGUUUAUUUAACCAU